GGGUUGGUCGGGUGGUCCGCCGUUUCGGCGAGUACUGCCGCGACCGACCCUUUCCUUCUGGGGAACCAGUCUGCCCUUUACUGGGCGGGCUGGGAAGCCAGAACGUUUACCUUGAAAAAAUUAGAGUGUUCAAAGCAGGCGCACGCUUGUAUACAUUAGCAUGGAAUAAUAGAAUAGGACUUUGGUCUUAUUUUGUUGGUUUCUAAGAUCACAGUAAUGAUUAAUAGGGAUAGUUG
rnacentral:rRNA from 1 species